rnacentral:rRNA from 1 species
UGGGGAAUAUUGGGCAAUGGGGGAAACCCUGACCCAGCAACGCCGCGUGAGGGAAGAAGGUUUUCGGAUUGUAAACCUCUGUCCUUGGUGAAGAAAGAGAUGACGGUAGCCAAGGAGGAAGCCCCGGCUAACUACGUGCCAGCAGCCGCGGUAAUACGUAGGGGGCGAGCGUUGUCCGGAAUGACUGGGCGUAAAGGGCGUGUAGGCGGCCGAUUAAGUCCGGAGUGAAAGUCCUGCUUUCAAGGUGGGAAUUGCUUUGGAAACUGGUUGGCUUGAGUGCGGAAGAGGUAAGUGGAAUUCCCAGUGUAGCGGUGAAAUGCGUAGAGAUUGGGAGGAACACCAGUGGCGAAGGCGACUUACUGGGCCGUAACUGACGCUGAGGCGCGAAAGCGUGGGGAGCGAACAG